UGGUGCUUGCAUCAUGAUUUACAUUUGAGUGAGUGGCGAACUGGUGAGUAACACGUGGGAAACCUGCCCAGAAGCGGGGGAUAACACCUGGAAACAGAUGCUAAUACCGCAUAACAACUUGGACCGCAUGGUCCGAGUUUGAAAGAUGGCUUCGGCUAUCACUUUUGGAUGGUCCCGCGGCGUAUUAGCUAGAUGGUGGGGUAACGGCUCACCAUGGCAAUGAUACGUAGCCGACCUGAGAGGGUAAUCGGCCACAUUGGGACUGAGACACGGCCCAAACUCCUACGGGAGGCAGCAGUAGGGAAUCUUCCACAAUGGACGAAAGUCUGAUGGAGCAACGCCGCGUGAGUGAAGAAGGGUUUCGGCUCGUAAAACUCUGUUGUUAAAGAAGAACAUAUCUGAGAGUAACUGUUCAGGUAUUGACGGUAUUUAACCAGAAAGCCACGGCUAACUACGUGCCAGCAGCCGCGGUAAUACGUAGGUGGCAAGCGUUGUCCGGAUUUAUUGGGCGUAAAGCGAGCGCAGGCGGUUUUUUAAGUCU
rnacentral:rRNA from 2 species